rnacentral:rRNA from 1 species
CAACAGCUCAAAUUUGAAAUCUGGCCUCUUCGGGGUCCGAGUUGUAAUUUGUAGAGGAUGUUUCGGGUACCGCCUCGGUUUAAAUUUCUUGGAACAGAAUGUCAGAGAGGGUGAGAAUCCCGUCUUGGACCGGCGGUAGGGCCCAUGUGAAACUCCUUCGACGAGUCGAGUUGUUUGGGAAUGCAGCUCAAAAUGGGUGGUAAAUUUCAUCUAAAGCUAAAUAUUGGCCAGAGACCGAUAGCGCACAAGUAGAGUGAUCGAAAGAUGAAAAGAACUUUGAAAAGAGAGUUAAACAGUAUGUGAAAUUGUUGAAAGGGAAGCGCUUACAACCAGACUUGAGCGCGGCGGUUCCCCCUUCCUUUUGGUUGGGUUACUCCGCCGUGUCCAGGCCAACAUCGGUUCUGGGGGUCGGUUAAAGGCCUGGGGAAUGUAUCUACUCCUUCGGGGGUAGACUUAUAGCCCCGGGUGUCAUGCGACCACCCGGGACCGAGGAACGCGCUUCGGCUCGGAUGUUGGCGUAAUGGUUGUCAGCGACCCGUCUUGAAACACGGACCAAGGAGUCUAACAUCUAUGCGAGUGUUUGGGUGUCAAACCCGGAACGCGAAAUGAAAGUGAACGGAGGUAGGAAGCCUUUAGGCUGCACUAUCGACCGAUCCUGAUGUCUUCGGAUGGAUUUGAGUAAGAGCAUAGCUGUUGGGACCCGAAAGAUGGUGAAC